UCUCACACCCUCACGUGAUUUCUUCUGCCACCAAUCCCUCUCCUCUUCCUAUAUUCUUCAUCCCUUGCUUUCAUCUCUACUUGCUCAUUCUUCAAUUCUAUGAUAACAAUAUUGGUAUUCGCCUUUAACCAAUAAAGCUUCUGUUCUUUCUCUAGUCAUUUCCUCACCAGAAGAUCAUUUUUAUUUUGUCUCUUUCAAUUCAUAGGUUUUAACGAUUUCUCUUAUCUCGAUUAUUACAAUGACUUUAUCGUCAUUCUGUCAUGUAUAAUUCAGACUCUUUCUCCUGCUCCUUAAGUUGUUG
rnacentral:lncRNA from 1 species